UGGUCAGUACAAGACACAUCACCAAUCAAAUUCUUAUCAAUACCAGCUGUCCAAAAGAUCCAAUGAACUCAAGAACAUCUACAUACCCCCUUCCCCUUUGAAUCUGAACCCUCCCUCUUAGGUUUAGGUUUUCUGUUCCAUUUAAUUAGUUAAAUAUGCAGCUUUUAGGAGAGGAUGUAAGGAAAAACAACAGAAAGAAAAAGAGUGGAAAAGAGAGAACGGGGAGAGAGAAAAAUAUAGCAGAAAUUUUUCUGAAAAAUUUCUUGAGCAAGGGCUGAUGAUCCAGUCAGCUUCUUGACCCUAUUCUGAUCUCUUUAGAGCUUCUCCUAAGCAAGUGUUUGUUUCUGGGCAAUCUAAUUGUUGGAGAGAAAUUUUGGUGUUGAAUUUUUUUUGGAAAAAACUGCUGCAACAUCUUCGGAUUGAGGUCUGAACUGGCUGCUUUCACCAUCCUUAAAGAACUGCAGCAAAAAGUUCUUACUUCGUUUUCAGCAAUUUAGGUGAUCGUUUAAAGUUUUUCCCACAUUAAUUCAGUCCCCGAUCAUUUAUAGGUUUGAAGAUGGUCUGAUGUUUUGAUGAUUUGAUGAAUUGGCCGAGCUUUCGAUGGACCCAUUCUUGGAUCCACCAGAAGCUAGCCUCGUUCUUUCUUUUCCUGCAUUUUCCGUUGGUUUCCUCUGUUUGAUCUACAACAGCUUGAUGUCUGCAGUUGGGCUGUAUAAAUCAAAAUGGGUUGAUGCUUAUGCUGGGUUUCUGGUUGAUAAAUUGCUGGGUUUUCCUUGGGUUUGUGACAUGGGUUUGGAGAUUCAAGCCCAAUCUCUUUGUUGGUUGAAACUUGAAACAAUAGAAAUAAUGAAAUAAUGUGGGCAAAGUUCGUUGGGCCAAAGUGUUCGGCCUAGACCAAAGGCGAUAAAAAGAAAAGAAAAGGCCCAUCGUUUUUUUUUGGGGUCAAAUCAGAAACGGACUUUGCAAUUAAGUUCCUAAACUUUUAAAUAAUUUCAUUGUGGUCCUAAAACUUUUGGAUUUUCAAUUAGGUCCUUACUUUAAUUACAUUUUUGUCCCUAAACUUCAUUUUCUUUGAUUUUGAUUUUGAUCUUUGUAAGAAUUAUACAUUCAACCCAAAAUAUUUUCAAUUUUUGCAAUUGAGUCCCUAAUGGUUUUGAUUUAUUAAGUAUUAUUGUUUACCUUCUUUAAUUGUUAAUCAUACUUCAUUUAGAUGCAUUUAAUUGGUGAAUUUUAGGAACUUUAUGUUUAUUCAUAUUUCUUUGGAAUAGAGUGAAUUUUGCUACAUGUUUACAUUUUUUUUUAAAUUGUUAAUUAAAUUGGUUCCUUGACUAUUUUGUUAAUUUUGGAGUAUAAAUAGGGCAAACUCUACUUCAUUUAACCACUAUUUCAAGGGAGAUACUUUCUAUUAUUAUUUUAAGUUUUUUUAUGUGCUCCUAUGUGUUUUAUGUGUGAUUGCAUAUUUUGAGUGUUUUUCCCUUUAUUUACUCAUUUCAUUCACUUUAAGUUUUAAUUUGUUGUAUUUAAUUUUUGAUAAUUAUUUGGGAGGUAUUUAAAUGCUAAAUUUUAAUAGAUAUGUGUCCAAGAAAUGUAUUUAGUUAGGCCAUGUAAUAGAUAGAUUUUAUUUUUACCAAAAAUGUAAUUAAUUAGAUAAAUGUAAUAUAUAGAUUUAUUAUUUCCAAAAA